AAAAAUUGCUCUUUUAGAAUUUGUCCAGUAGGUUUCUUCUAAAAUGAACCCCCC
ensembl:snRNA U7 U7 small nuclear RNA